UCUAAGUGAGAGGUAAACUGGCCUUGUAAAGAGACAAAGAUUAGAUUUUAGGAUCUAUCAAGGAAGAAAUCCCAAUGAACACACCUGCCUCUUGCUUGAAAGCUCUGGAGGAACCCGUGCUGCA